AUGUAGAGCAAACUGUCUUUAAGUAGGGAUAAAUUACUCGAAACAAAAAUUUGAUCUUGGAUAGUUUUCCCUUCCGUCUUGUUGUUUAA
rnacentral:pre_miRNA from 1 species